rnacentral:misc_RNA from 1 species
CCUAAUUACAUGCAAGUCGAACGGAAAUUUUCGGAUUUUAGUGGCGAACGGGUGAGUAACACGUAAGCAACCUGCCUUUAAGACGAGGAUAACAAUUGGAAACAGUUGCUAAGACUGGAUAGGAAAUAAAAAGGCAUCUUUUUAUUUUUAAAAGACCUUUUUCGGAAGGUAUGCUUAAAGAGGGGCUUGCGUCACAUUAGUUAGUUGGCAGGGUAAAGGCCUACCAAGACUAUGAUGUGUAGCUGGACUGAGAGGUUGAACAGCCACAUUGGGACUGAGACACGGCCCAAACUCCUACGGGAGGCAGCAGUAGGGAAUUUUCGGCAAUGGAGGAAACUCUGACCGAGCAACGCCGCGUGAACGAUGAAGUAUUUCGGUAUGUAAAGUUCUUUUAUUGAAGAAGAAAAAAUAGUGGAAAAACUAUCUUGACGAUAUUCAAUGAAUAAGCCCCGGCAAACUAUGUGCCAGCAGCCGCGGUAAUACAUAGGGGGCGAGCGUUAUCCGGAAUUAUUGGGCGUAAAGGGUGCGUAGGCGGUUUAAUAAGUCUAUAGUUUAAUUUCAGUGCUUAACACUGUCCUGCUAUAGAAACUAUUAGACUAGAGUGAGAUAGAGGCAAGUGGAAUUCCAUGUGUAGCGGUAAAAUGCGUAAAUAUAUGGAGGAACACCAGAGGCGUAGGCGGCUUGCUGGGUCUUUACUGACGCUGAGGCACGAAAGCGUGGGGAGCAAACAGGAUUAGAUACCCUGGUAGUCCACGC